AAUAUCCAGUCAGUGUAAACUCGUUUAUAAUUUGGUCCUUUGAUUUCAAGGAGCUAUGAUGCAGUUCGUUGUGGGGAUGUGUUGUCUCCAUGUCAUACAUGUGACUUUGUCCAUGUUUGCACCCAGUUCAAGGAAGACACAACCCUAGGGAAAGACAACCCUCCCCGCCAAGCCUCUCUUCCCAUUCUUAAACAUAGGGUGGCGUUAUUCAGGUUGGACCAGUUUAAAAAGACUAACGCAUUUGUCCUCGUUGUUGGGUGUUUUUUUUCUUUAAAUUUGUAAAACAGGAAUAAUUGUGUUAGGAUGAAGUAUGAUACUAGGAGAACAGGGAAAACUAACCCAUCGUGUUAAAAGUCAGAAUAGUGCUUAACUCUGGCAGGAGGUGAGAUGGUUAGUAAUUCAGAAGGGGGUGCCAGGAGAGCUUCCAGAGCCAUUGAAAUGUUCAGUAGCUUGAUCUGGGUGAUGAUUUACAUACAUAAAAACAUAUUAAACUUUGAACUUAAGAUUUAUGCCUUUUACUGUUUGCACCCUAUAACUCCAAAAGAAAAGUAGAGGGGAAAAAGAGUCCCUGCAAAAGGCAGUCUUGAAAGAAAGCAAGUCUGUGAUGUGGAGAAUGCAUUGGACAGCUCUCAGCAAUUUGCUGUAGCUUGGGCAGAGAGAUAAAAGCUAAUGCCAGCAUCAGGUUGCCCAGGCGAGAGAAGGCCUGAAAGAAGACAGCGUGGAGAAAGUGUCAGCAAGCUUCAGCAACAGCAGGAGGCAGAUGGUAGGAGAGUGGGCCUCAGGUGUGGUGUGGCAGAGCAGAGUAGCCACACUUAGGCCCCAGAGACAGUGUCUUCUCACCCUCAGUUGAAGGGGCAGGAAAUCAAUCGCUCUAGUCACCCCUAAGCUGGAGGACGGACCUAAAGUUGCCACAGCUUUGAGAGGCAAAGAAGUUUGCUCAGUGGCUUUUAGAGACUUCUAGGGCCCUGGGACCCUGACACUGAGGAGGAGCAAACUGAAGGGGAGAGUGGGCACAUUCCUUGUUGGCUGCUGUGGUGAGCAGCAGCUGGUCGUUGUCAGUCAAGCUCCGGACCACUCUGAUGAUGCUCACUGCAUUUUGAUGGAGUAAGCCAGGGACAUUACCACUGUGUUUGAGCCAUCUGAAGUAUUCCUGGGUGGGUCUGCAGUUGGCAGCCCGUGAUCCUUUUUCCAUUCAAGGAUGAUGCAAAGGUAAGGGGCCAAGGCUGAGCUCUGUAGAUGCCUGUGAGAGCCUCCUGGUCUCAAGAGGUCAUACCAAGGGCCUUGGCCACCAAGGUUUCGUGAGGACCUUGAGGUGGUUUCGCCAUCACAAUGUCAGACGUGUCACACACCAUCUGGUAUGUCCUCACUGUAUAGAGGAAGAAGGGCCCAAGUGGUGAAUUAUCUACAAGUUUGUAGCAAAGCUAAUACUCAGACUCCCUCUACAGCCUUGCUACUCAGUGUAGUCUGUGGUCCGGCAGUGUCACACCACUGGGGUACUUAGCAGAAAUGCAGCUUCUCAGGCUCCACUCCAGCUCUCCUCAAUCACAGUCUGUUUUUUUGUUUGUUUGUUUGUUUGUUUUGAGAUGGAGUUUCGCUCUUGUUGCCUAGGCUGGAGAGCAGUGGUGCGAUCUUGGCUCACUGCAACCUCCACCUCCCUGGUUCAAGUGAUUCUGCUGCCUCAGCCUCCCAAGUAGCUGGGAUUACAGGCGCCCGCCACCAUGCCCGGUGGCGUGCAUGGUAAUUUUUGUAUUUUUAGUAGAAACAGGAUCUCGCCAUGUUGGCCAGGCUGGUCUUGAACUCCUGACCUCAGGUGAUCCACCCGCCUUGGCCUCCCAAAGUACUGGGGAUUACAGAUGUGAGCCACCACGCCUGGCCCACAGUCUGUAUUUUAACAAGAUCCCCACCUCAGUCUUAGGCACAUGGAUUCUCCUCAACCCCCAAUACCACAGAGUCUAUUAAUUUUUACCCAAUAGGGAAGGGGAAAAAGUCAAGAAAGAAUAAUGAAUUAAGUAAUCUUUCCCCCUCCAGGAAGCUCUUUAUUUAAUUUCGCUCCCAUGAAACACAAUUUGAAGAGUCUCUCAAAUAAACAAAUUCCAUUUUCUGAUAAUUAUUUAAUUGCCCCACUUUUGAAAUUUUUGUCAAAGACGACUGUCACUCCCUGUCAGAACUUCUAUUCAGCACAGUAUACCAAGCGUUUCUCCAUCGAGUUGUUAUAAUAUGAUCAAAAAGCAGGGAGAGAUGCUGCUUGGUUACCCUGUGGGGCCUUAUCGGGGCUCAGUGCAGUCUUUCCAUGUAGGCAUUCUCAAAUACUCAAUUGAAACCUGAUUGAGGAUCAUUUGAUCUCUGUUGGCCCUAGUGCAGUAGGCUGCUGAGAACCACUGAUGCAAUAGACUGAGAGACUAACUGCCUGCUUCCCUGUCAGCCCAGGCUCUGCUAAGGCCGUCUUAGUUACAGAAGAAAGUGGGGCAGAGAGCCCUGCAAGGAUUACAUUCCAUUCCUAACGGAGACAGGCAAGCGUUCAGUGCCCGAAGCAGGGCAGGCCUUUGUAUGGCUCACUUUUCCCUGUACCAGCCUCAGCCCCGUACAUUCAGAAAGCCCUGUCGGGAACGUGCGGGAUCACAGCACAAGACAGUCAUUCACUGAUUGAUUGACGACGUCAACAUUGCGGAAUACCUAUGUUAAGCUGAGUACGAGGGAUAUAAAAAGUAGGCCCUGGAGAGUGCCUCUGGGAUGCACAUAACCAGACAAGAUAAAGAAAAGGCAGAUCACGAGAUCAAGAGAUCGAGAUCAUCCUGGCCAACAUGGUGAAACCCCAUCUCUACUAAAAUUACAAAAAUCAGCUAGACGUGGUGGCGGGCGCCUGUAGUCCCAGCUACUCAGGAGGCUGAGGCAGGAGAAUCGCUUGAACCCGGGAGGCAGAGAUUGCACUGAGCUGAGGUCAUGCCACUGCACUCCAGCCUGGCAACAGGGCAAGACUCCAUCUCAAAAAAAAAAAAAAAGAAAAAAAAGAAAAAUUAGGGCAGCUUUUAGACAUGAGGCCCCAAAGUGCCAACUAGUGCACCUAAACUUCAACUCUCUUUUGAGUGUUUUAUGUAUCUACUCAGCAUCCAGUUGUAAAUAUGCAAAAAUCAAUGCCUACUGUAUUUAAAAAUUACUAAAUUCACAAUAACCACACAGAAUCUAUAAUAAAUAGAAUCAAUGUAAUAAUGACUCAGAUCCAGGGGAAGAAAAUUAUAAAAUUUUGGAAAAAAUGAUGAGCUAUUAAUUAAGAAAAUAGUUUGUUCCUUGGUGAGAAGACUCAAUGUAAAUAUGUCAGUUUUCUCCUGACUUAAGUCUUCAACACAGGCCUAAUAAUAUUGCAGUGGCAAAUGAUUGCCAGGGGCAGGAGGGGAUUUGGGGAAGUGGUAAAAAUGAUCUGUGUCUUGGUAGUGGUCGCUGCACAACUGCAUACAUCUGUGAAAACUCACUGAACUGCGCACUUUAAAAGGGUGAAUUGUAAUAUACAUACCUCAAUAAACCUUACUUAAAAAUUA
rnacentral:lncRNA from 1 species